UUCCCGAAUACAAUUCGGGCUACCCUGUAUAAAAAAAUUUGGCGUCCAAGGUUAAAUUGGCUAUCCCAAAUAGUUGUUUAAUUUAUGUUAUAUGUUUUGUGCAUGGAUAUAAUUUCCUAAAAAUAUAUUUGUGUGGUGUCUUCUUUCAAUAAUUCAUCAACUAACUGAAUGUGCAUUAAAUUCGUUUACAGCGCUAUAGUAGCACAUGCUCAUGAAGAACCUACUGUCAAAUCUGACUGAAGGAUAGAUGGAGAUAUUAAAUUAAUAUGAACAAAAGGCGACGCUAAUAUAAGCCAAAAUAAAAAUUAUUUAUUUUCUGUGUUUUAUUCUUCUUCAACAAUGGCAAAAAGCCAUCAAAUAUGUUUAAUAUAUGAUUAUCCCUAUUUAAAAAAAAAUCUCAAGUGGUCCUUUAUAUCAGUAUAAAUUCGCUCUACAAUUACAUUUUUAUUAAUUUGUUAAAAUGAUUGAGAUAAUUACAAGUCAUAUAAUUCUAAUUAUUUUCGACGUUUCCAAAAAAUUAUCUUAAGUAUUUUAGGAAUAUUAAUGUAAAUUGAAUUUCUUACCAUUUAAUUAAUUUUUAUCAAUUAUUUUAAAAGGGCUCAGUUAAUCGAAAGACAAAGACUUCUUGCUGCAGAAGAAGCCCAGUCAGUGAGCGAAAUCAGCUCUUUAGAAGGGAGUUUAAAUGCCUCAGAGUCAAUUAAUGCUGAAGAUAUGCGAUAUAGAAAUAGAUAUUUAAAUAAAAUUGGAGCCGAGUUACCUCCUUCAUAACAACAAUGGAAGUUAAGGUUUCAGACUAUACACAUAGCAUGAAUUGUGAUAUUUUAGGAAAAUUUGAUCUUUGUUUAUGUAAGAUACAAAUUUGUAUAUCUCAAAUAAUGAAAAGUUAAUUUUGUCAAUUAUGUAUCCUAUAUAUUUGUUGAUCGAUCUUUAGGACCAAUAUGCAUACAAGUAUGCAAUUUGUUAUGAUCUUUCGAGAGACAAUAACACAUUUUUGACAAAUAUAAAAUGUAAGAUUUGAUGACAAUUUAGUUUUAAAAUUUAUUUUUAUAAGCAAUAAUUAUACAUAUAGGUGUGCUAUAUUUAUGUUAAGUUGUAAAUAUAUUUAUAAGUUAAUAAAAAUCAAAUCAUGUA